GACGAACCGUACGAACGUUAUUCGGAAUUACUGGGCUUAAAGGGUGCGUAGGCGGCGCGGAAAGUUGGGUGUGAAAUCCCUCGGCUCAACCGAGGAAUUGCGCCCAAAACUUCCGUGCUCGAGGAAGAUAGAGGUGAGCGGAACUUAGGGUGGAGCGGUGAAAUGCGUUGAUAUCCUAAGGAACACCGGUGGCGAAAGCGGCUCACUGGAUCUUUUCUGACGCUGAGGCACGAAAGCUAGGGUAGCGAACGGG
rnacentral:rRNA from 1 species